UACAGAGGUCUCAAGCGUUGUUCGGAAUCACUGGGCUUAAAGGGCGCGUAGGUGGUUUGCCAAGUCGGGGUUGAAAUCUUUCGGCUCAACCGGAAAAGUGGCUUCGAUACUGGCAAGCUGGAGGGAGGUAGGGGCGGAUGGAACUUCCGGUGGAGCGGUGAAAUGUGUUGAUAUCGGAAGGAACGCCGGUGGCGAAAGCGAUCCGCUGGACCUCUUCUGACACUGGAGGCGCGAAAGCCAGGGAGCAAACGGG
rnacentral:rRNA from 1 species